GUGGCUAUCUUGACGUCUACCUUCGCAGUCGAGCCUGCGAGAGUAAGACCGCCGCGAAAGUCUAGAAAAAGAUAAGCGCGACAAUACCUCUAUUCGCAGAACCCAGCACCGAAAAAAUUCUUUAUAUUGAAUAUAUUUGUCGCACACAUAAAUAUAAAAGCCAUAACAUCUCACACAUAUAAUGGAUUGUUUUUCGAUAAUGACAUUGAUAACGAAAUUCAAGAAGCAAAGCGAAGCAAAAAUAAAAUGGCGCCUGAAAAAAAGUUCGGUUUUGUACUCCUAGCUAAAUAAAGCGCUUUCAUUUCUAAAUUUCAUCAUACGUUAAACGUUUUAAAAUAAAUAUAUUUAAUAUCUCUUUCAAUUAAAUUCCAACAUGUUUUUAGUUUAGUGUAUACUGCAUUUUCGCCAUAAAAUAAACAAUAUUCAUAUGCUGAGUCGCAUUUGAAGCUAGUGCAUUUUCCAGCGAUAAAAAUCUGUUCCCCGAUGGAGAAUCUAAUAAAUAUUUGCCGGCGCAGGUGCGGGAGUAGCUUGUUGCUGUAUCCGUGGACAAACCAAUCGGUUCCCACCAGCCGCUCUGAACUUCCCAAAUGGAACUGCUGGAAGCAUUCGGUCAUCUUUGUUCCGGAGACUCCCCGCUCAAAUCGUCCCGCCAAUAAACAACCUACUGAUAUUGAUACAAUCAAUGAAAAGGACUCUGCGGUAUGAUGUGAUAUUUUGUUGCUGAUGAUUGGUUGCGAGCUUCGGGAGCAACACCGGAUUUGAUUUCCGCCGCCUUCCAUUAGAAGCAUGAAACACAAGCUAUUCACCGGUCAACAAAUUAUGUAAUCGAAAGUUUGGAGCGAAACGCCGGGGACCAGCAUCGGGCGGUGCUCAAAAGGUCGUGUAACGUAAAAACUUGGCAAAACCGAGUUUCAUAUUGGUUGUUCGGCUACGGCACCGAAAUCACCGGAGUUCUUUUCCAUUUUUGGAAAGUACGAUGUUGUUCAUCAAAGAUCCGAGAUUUAGCGUAACGGAAACAGGUCACAGCUUAUACAAAUCGUAAUGAGGGU